CACGGAACUCCGACCUCCCAAAACAGGGGUUUCUGUCCAUUUUGGGAGCGGUUCCCCCCUCCGCGGCCCCCGACUGUUCCCUCGGGGCAGAAACGGGAACCCGAAACCGGCGUUCGCGUUCGUAUUGUGCAUUGCCUAUUUUCCUUUCCGGCCCCUCCUGGGACAGCACGAUGCAUGGCCGAGACUGACCGUCGCCCCCUCACUGUUCCCUGGCUGGCGUGCCUGCCCCCUAUAACGGCCCCCCAAUGCGCUGACACCGGCGAUUGCCCAAUUUGUCAGCUUCUGGCUUUGCUGUGUCCAGCUUUCUCCCCUUCGGAUUUCCCUCCGAGUGGAUCGCUCGCCGUCGGGCCUUUUUACUCUCCGUAGCGACACAUAACGCGAAUGCGUCUACAAUAAACGAAAAAACAGGUUCGACAAUCGGGAUUAGGUUUAUUGCGUUUGCAACUGACGGCAUAUCUAACUGAUAAUGCAACUGAUCAUAACUGAUAUACAACUGAUCAUAACUGAUGAUGCAAUUGAUGACAUUUGCAGCUGAUGACUUUACAGCGCUGAGCAUUCUGUUGAGGCUGACGAUUACCGGCCGCUUGUUCUGUUGUCCUGUUACGAAAACAAUUCGGAUUACAACUGCUGUCACCACAGGAUCCUUUGCCGGCCCUCGGCCGGCGAUAUUAGCUGCCGCACACACUUACCAGUCUUUACUCCUGGGGGCAGAGCCUUGCCCCAGCUCGAUUACCGGUUCCCCCUCGGCGCCAUGCAUUGCCGAUAGACCGAUUUCGAGCAUCGGCAACCCUGCUCUUCCGGGCCCGGGAUACACCCUGCCGGCGUCCAGUAGCAAUCGGGCGAGCCUCUUCCCGUCGGUUGCUAGGGGGGCCAGUACACGUUCACGAUAGGUGAAUUCGCACGUGUACUGGCGCAAUCUGUCAUCAUUGCGAGUCGACUUGAUGGUCUCCUGUUGGGAAACAUGUUUGUUAUAACCUGAGCCGGCACCUGACUAUAAAGCAAAAGAAGAAAACAGAGUGAGGAACACAUACCUUCAGCCGCCGAUUCCUAACCUCAAUGUUUUGUGUAUGGACGUCGGGCUCCUCGACGUCAACGAACCUGGAGGGAGAAAAAACAGGGAGUCGGAACAGUGUGCGGGUAGUCGGCUUUUUUUCAGGGCAUGCCGACAGGGGUAGCCGCUGCCAUGCAGCGGCCAUCACCGGCCGGACGACUUAGCACGCCUUCAGGACGCAUCUUACCUGCCUGGUCCACGGCGGCUAUGAUUUAUCGUUUUGUGCGCAGCAUAGCCCAAGCUCUCGCAACCCGUGUAUUGCGGAGCACAGUCCGGUAUUAUUGUGGAUCCAUGUGCGACAAAUCGGUGAAUAUAACUCCACAAUACGGCCCUUGUUUUGUUGGGAACCUGCAAGAAUGAAAGAACACUUUAGUCGGAACCCAUGCAGAGCGUAUCGCGGAGUGCCACGCAUAAUAUGUUGAUGGCGGCCUCCUGCUGGCAGGGGCUAAAGAACCCCUAUCGAAGGCGUACCUGCCAAUACAGACCCUCUUUCGUUUCUCGGCAGUAAAUGCCGAAGAGGGUUAUUGUGUGCGCGGACACCAGACGUCCCCUAUUAAAUUUUCGCCUACGGGCAAAAGUUUCGUCGACCUGCGAACAAAGCACGGAAAUAUUAAUGUUGGCCGUGGGAAAUCUGCCGACAAAGGCGCCGGACGUAUCGGAAAAAACUGAGAACUGAACAUUCGCUUACCUCGACAGUUUUCCCGGGGCCGCCGAUUUCCACUUGAAGAUGCGAAACUAUAACUUCGGCGACCUCCCGGAAAAAACUGAAAAAAUCCUGCGCCGUUCUACUGGACACCACGCAUUCGGUGUACGCCUUAGUGACGGGCAGUUGUAUGAUCCAUGCGUACGCAAGGCGCAGUACCUGAAAGGAAAAAAACGUCUGGUAUUAGGACGUUCAGCGCAAGAAUAAACGGGUCGUUAAACGUAUAUGCGCUAAUCUUACCUUGAGCACGUUGAUGUUAAUGUUAUCGAAAGUGUUUUUCAGAGGGGACAAGUACCCCCUGCAUUUCUUCGCCGUCUUCUGUUUUUUACUUUUUUCUGACGAGGACGGCUUCUCCCCGCCCAGGCACCUAUAUACAAACCCCGCCUGAUUAUCCCGCGAUGCUUGCGGUCUCAUGGCUCCUGUAAAUGGCGCGAAUACGAGCGUUAGUACCGGCAGCAAGGGGGGGCAGAACGUAAAUGCUGAGAUUGCGCGAGGCAACGCGCACACAUGCGAUGCCGCCCCUGUAGCGGGGGGAGGCCUGGGAACCCUGGAACCAGCGGCCGACGUGCUUACCGAAUACAUUUUCCGCUGCUUCCGGCGGCCCGCGAUGUGCCCCGCCGGCGGAAACAAGUGGAAUCUUUGUGUCGGGCCAGGCGCGGCCACGGCCCUGUCAGCAGGUCCCAGACCGUGGAGAUAGCAUUGCGUGCACGUGGCCUGCAGCAAAAUCAGCAGCCACGGGAGUCCCGAGGACGCAUCAGGCGGACCUACCGCUGCACUUCGGGCACGGAGGAGGCGGCGUGCUCUCCCUGUCCGGGAUAAGGCCGAGGUGGGUGCACACGCGAACAGCUUCUUCAUUCGUCGGCAAAAUUUCGGCAAAUGUAAAAGACGUUAUCCGGUUUAGGGGAGUAUCUACCUCUCCCGGAAAAUCUGUUUGUGGUGCAGGCUCGACGCCUGCCGAUGAC
rnacentral:lncRNA from 1 species